CGCUACACGUCUUUGUAACAAACAUGUUUCACAUUGCACUGAAAGGACAUGAAACCGUGGAGAAACUGGAGGAGUUGAGAGCAGUGCCCUGUUACUACUGGGAAGAGGAUGAAGAAGAUUGGUAUGUCUCCCCGUGGGAAGCCCUGAACUAUGCCGUAAUCUACAACCACGUUGCUUACGCUUCUUACCUGCUGACACAUUUUGGG